CAACUGUCUUAUCUGCUUUCCAUUUUGCUAAUACCUAAACAACAGGCCUUCUCUUUGCUGACUGUGGGCCUACCAUAGGAACAACUAUCUGUGAUGUUGCUCCACCUAUUUCCUGACUUCUGUCUCAGUCUCUUCCUAUGUUUUCAAGGAGCAAGACUAGCAUCACAAGCGUGAGUUUUGGAGUCAAAGGUCAGAAGUUGUCCUGUCUGAGGACAAGAGCUGCACCAGAUGACUUCUCAAGAUCCCUUUGACCCUUAUGAUUGUCUACUGGCAUAAAUAUAAGGAGAGGGCUUCAGCAUUGAAGGUGAGCAUCAUGCCAAUUCCC
rnacentral:lncRNA from 1 species